rnacentral:rRNA from 1 species
UACAGAGGGGGCAAGCGUUGUUCGGAAUUACUGGGCGUAAAGGGCGCGUAGGCGGCCUGUUAAGUCGAACGUGAAAUCCCCGGGCUCAACCCGGGAACUGCGUCCGAUACUGGCAGGCUUGAAUCCGGGAGAGGGAUGCGGAAUUCCAGGUGUAGCGGUGAAAUGCGUAGAUAUCUGGAGGAACACCGGUGGCGAAGGCGGGUCUCUGGGCCGAUACUGACGCUGAGGAGCGAAAGCAUGGGGAUCAAACAGG